UCACUGGCAUCUCCAUCAGCCUAAUUUUUGUUUUUGUUUUUAUCUUUUUUAGCACUACACAAGUCAUAGUCUCCUCCUGAGUUACUUUCAUCUUGGUUCUUUCUGCCAUUCUAGGUGAUCUUUUGGGAGAGCAAUGAGUAUGAGGUUCUCGUCUCGUGAGAAUUUGAUGGUUGCACUCUGCAGUGUGCAUAGGCCAAAAGGACCAAAGGCAGAAUCUUCAAACUCAGAAAUCAGGUAAUUCAAUUCCUCAUAAUGGUACUUCAUCUCUCUAAUAAUUUCUCUUAGACUUUGCUAGACAUCUACAGUCACUACGCAGAGGGAAGUAAAGAAAAACUACCCACUUAUAUCUGGUGAUUUGCAUUUGGCAUUAUUGCUAGAGGAUUACAUAAACUUACUUUAUAAUUUAAAAAUAACUUACUUCAUUCAUAUAAACCCUGUACUUGUAGCGUAAUUAUACCAUACACAUUUCAGUAAUAAAAAGAGAAAGUGAGAACUAGAUUAGAUAGGAGCAACAUUUUAUCAUUAGCUACUCUUAAAAUUGCUUUGUAAUACUGUAAUUUCUGUGAACUUUUUAUGAAUAAAGUAUUGAAGUAAAAUGAUAACAGUGUGUGGAAUUUUACAGGAUAUGUUUAUAACUUACAUUUCUAAUAAACACAGUCUUUGAAAGAGGAAUAGAAGGCCUAUUACUUGUGAAAAUCUCUUCCAUUUAUACUGUCAUCUUAGUGUUUUCCCUUCCCAUUAUGCUGACAGAAUUACCACAUUAACACAAUAGCCUGCAUUAUGAUGACAAAAUUAUGGCAUUAUAUCAGUAGACCAUAAAGAAAUGGUUCUAUUAAUAAAAAUAUUUCUUUACAAAUUGGAUUUCUUUAUUACUUUCUGUAGAAAGGAUCUAUUACAUGAAAAUACAGCAAAGUACUUCUAAAUCCAAUGCUGUUCUUUAGUGGUGUUUAACUGAGUGAUUAUUUCCAUCACAAGAGUAAUGAUAAUGUCCUUUCAUUAUUUAUAACCUUAUAACGUCACUUAUUUGUACACAGCUUUAAAGAUGAUACAUCAAUU
rnacentral:lncRNA from 1 species